CUGUGGAUAUUCUCACUGUUCUGAUUUGAUAAUAACCUGCACAGGAAAACAUUUGCUUCAUUAACACAAGGCAUGUGUCCCCAGACAAAGUUCUUUCCGUAGGUCUAAUUUUAUAAUUGCUGGUGAUAGAC
ensembl:snoRNA SNORA72 Small nucleolar RNA SNORA72